CGGACGGGUGAGUAAUGUCUGGGAAACUGCCUGAUGGAGGGGGAUAACUACUGGAAACGGUAGCUAAUACCGCAUAACGUCGCAAGACCAAAGAGGGGGACCUUAGGGCCUCUUGCCAUCGGAUGCGCCCAGAUGGGAUUAGCUAGUAGGUGGGGUAACGGCUCACCUAGGCGACGAUCCCUAGCUGGUCUGAGAGGAUGACCAGCCACACUGGAACUGAGACACGGUCCAG
rnacentral:rRNA from 1 species